CUAUAUUAGAAACCUGUAUCAGAUCACACAAGAAAAUUGCAGUAAUUAAUUUGGGAGCUGUCUAUGUGUGUGUGCUUGCUAUUUUCCUUUCAUAUUAACUUCAAUUUUUGGUGGGAUGUACAUAAGUGCUCAAGCGAAGCAAGUAACAUUGGAGAAUGUAAAGUAGGGAGAGAGAAGUCUUGGUUCAGAACCUAGUAAAAAGAUUUCAUUUUGAGGUUAUGACUGAUCAAGAUGCCAACAAUUAAACAUUAAUUCACAGUCACAAAUCCAAAAGGAAUAUAGGAUGAUUUAGUAAUGGUUUUACUAGUUAUCAAGACGUAUUAGUUGGUUAAAACAGUGUCAAGUGUAUAGGAAGA
rnacentral:misc_RNA from 1 species